UUCUUCAUGUACUCUACAUUAAUGCUGCAGUGAAGAACACGAGCAGCAUGUAUUUUUUACUGUUUCUAACAAAUUGUAUUUUCUUCUUCUACCUUAUGCACAAUUCUCGUUAUCAAUGUAGUUGCUGGUCACUCGACACGCUCCGCAACUCUGAAACCUGUGCCCAAGUGUUACGCCCUCUUCUCACUCUUUCUUACUCCCUCGACAGACUCACUUCGCAGCUCUGAAACCUGUGUUCAAGUGUUACGCCCUUUUCUCACUCUUUCUUACUCCCUUGACCUUGGGUAUGAGAAAGCUUCGAAUUUUUCGAGCUCAUUUAAGAGAGAGGGCCAAAACAAAAAUAUCCAGGGUCAUGGGAUGGGAAUUAUAUUGUUUGAUGACGUCAAACAUUAAUACCUAAAGUAACCUUCAGAUUUCUUUCACUUCCGUAAACAGAUCGACAGAGAAGAAGAAGAUACAAUCGCAAACUUAAUAUGGAGAUCUCUGAUAAUCCUAUCUAUCUAGAUCGAGAGACAGGAGAAGUAAUGGUCGCAAUUUUAAUUUGGAGUUUUCAUAAUCAGAUUAAAGUUGAUUUUGAUUUUGGAGAGAAUUAGGGAGAAAUUCAUUUGUGUAAACGUGAAUCGAAACCCUAGUUUUAGAUGGAGUUCAGAUUGAGAUUUAUAUUGAAGCUAUGGAUAUCAGGAAACUUCGAGAGCUUGAUCAGUUUGUUUUUAAUUAUAAGAAGAUGCAUGUUGAAUAAGAUGGGAAAGAAAUCACUAUAUAGUGUAAAUCAUAAUUAUCCACCAGUGGAAGAGAACAAGGUGUUUUUAGGUGUAGAGACUAUCCAAGAAACUGAGUAGAUAAUUAACGAAAUGAAAGAAAAUGACGCGACACGGCUACUGAAUCUAGAGGUUAGUGUGUCGUAUCCAGAUAUUGUUCAUGAUUUUCUUUUAGUUUUUGUGGUCAUCGUUUUCAUAUUAGAUAUGUUGGUCAGUUCGAAUUGUUGUUGUUGUGGAUUUGUGAUAAUGAGGUGAUGAAGAUGUAAAAUUUGGUGAUUGUUGUUGCUGAGAUUAAUUAAAUUAUUAAAGCAAUUGUGGUGAUUUGUGAAACUUUCUAAAGGUAUAUAUGUUUUUCAUUAUGGGAAG